rnacentral:SRP_RNA from 1 species
UGGCAAGUCUCUUACGACCAGCUCCUACUUAAUCCCCCAGGACGGGAACGUAGCAAGGGUAGGUGGUUGUAGCGGUGCGAUAAGAGUAGCUUGCCACUU